rnacentral:rRNA from 1 species
UUAAGCGACUAAGCGUACACGGUGGAUGCCCUGGCAGUCAGAGGCGAUGAAGGACGUGCUAAUCUGCGAUAAGCGUCGGUAAGGUGAUAUGAACCGUUAUAACCGGCGAUUUCCGAAUGGGGAAACCCAGUGUGAUUCGUCACACUAUCAUUAACUGAAUCCAUAGGUUAAUGAGGCGAACCGGGGGAACUGAAACAUCUAAGUACCCCGAGGAAAAGAAAUCAACCGAGAUUCCCCCAGUAGCGGCGAGCGAACGGGGAGCAGCCCAGAGCCUGAAUCAGUGUGUGUGUUAGUGGAAGCGUCUGGAAAGGCGCGCGAUACAGGGUGACAGCCCCGUACACAAAAAUGCACAUACUGUGAGCUCGAUGAGUAGGGCGGGACACGUGGUAUCCUGUCUGAAUAUGGGGGGACCAUCCUCCAAGGCUAAAUACUCCUGACUGACCGAUAGUGAACCAGUACCGUGAGGGAAAGGCGAAAAGAACCCCGGCGAGGGGAGUGAAAAAGAACCUGAAACCGUGUACGUACAAGCAGUGGGAGCACGCUUAGGCGUGUGACUGCGUACCUUUUGUAUAAUGGGUCAGCGACUUAUAUUCUGUAGCAAGGUUAACCGAAUAGGGGAGCCGAAGGGAAACCGAGUCUUAACUGGGCGUUAAGUUGCAGGGUAUAGACCCGAAACCCGGUGAUCUAGCCAUGGGCAGGUUGAAGGUUGGGUAACACUAACUGGAGGACCGAACCGACUAAUGUUGAAAAAUUAGCGGAUGACUUGUGGCUGGGGGUGAAAGGCCAAUCAAACCGGGAGAUAGCUGGUUCUCCCCGAAAGCUAUUUAGGUAGCGCCUCGUGAAUUCAUCUCCGGGGGUAGAGCACUGUUUCGGCAAGGGGGUCAUCCCGACUUACCAACCCGAUGCAAACUGCGAAUACCGGAGAAUGUUAUCACGGGAGACACACGGCGGGUGCUAACGUCCGUCGUGAAGAGGGAAACAACCCAGACCGCCAGCUAAGGUCCCAAAGUCAUGGUUAAGUGGGAAACGAUGUGGGAAGGCCCAGACAGCCAGGAUGUUGGCUUAGAAGCAGCCAUCAUUUAAAGAAAGCGUAAUAGCUCACUGGUCGAGUCGGCCUGCGCGGAAGAUGUAACGGGGCUAAACCAUGCACCGAAGCUGCGGCAGCGACGCUUAUGCGUUGUUGGGUAGGGGAGCGUUCUGUAAGCCUGUGAAGGUGUACUGUGAGGUAUGCUGGAGGUAUCAGAAGUGCGAAUGCUGACAUAAGUAACGAUAAAGCGGGUGAAAAGCCCGCUCGCCGGAAGACCAAGGGUUCCUGUCCAACGUUAAUCGGGGCAGGGUGAGUCGACCCCUAAGGCGAGGCCGAAAGGCGUAGUCGAUGGGAAACAGGUUAAUAUUCCUGUACUUGGUGUUACUGCGAAGGGGGGACGGAGAAGGCUAUGUUGGCCGGGCGACGGUUGUCCCGGUUUAAGCGUGUAGGCUGGUUUUCCAGGCAAAUCCGGAAAAUCAAGGCUGAGGCGUGAUGACGAGGCACUACGGUGCUGAAGCAACAAAUGCCCUGCUUCCAGGAAAAGCCUCUAAGCAUCAGGUAACAUCAAAUCGUACCCCAAACCGACACAGGUGGUCAGGUAGAGAAUACCAAGGCGCUUGAGAGAACUCGGGUGAAGGAACUAGGCAAAAUGGUGCCGUAACUUCGGGAGAAGGCACGCUGAUAUGUAGGUGAAGUCCCUCGCGGAUGGAGCUGAAAUCAGUCGAAGAUACCAGCUGGCUGCAACUGUUUAUUAAAAACACAGCACUGUGCAAACACGAAAGUGGACGUAUACGGUGUGACGCCUGCCCGGUGCCGGAAGGUUAAUUGAUGGGGUUAGCGCAAGCGAAGCUCUUGAUCGAAGCCCCGGUAAACGGCGGCCGUAACUAUAACGGUCCUAAGGUAGCGAAAUUCCUUGUCGGGUAAGUUCCGACCUGCACGAAUGGCGUAAUGAUGGCCAGGCUGUCUCCACCCGAGACUCAGUGAAAUUGAACUCGCUGUGAAGAUGCAGUGUACCCGCGGCAAGACGGAAAGACCCCGUGAACCUUUACUAUAGCUUGACACUGAACAUUGAGCCUUGAUGUGUAGGAUAGGUGGGAGGCUUUGAAGUGUGGACGCCAGUCUGCAUGGAGCCGACCUUGAAAUACCACCCUUUAAUGUUUGAUGUUCUAACGUGGACCCGUAAUCCGGGUUGCGGACAGUGUCUGGUGGGUAGUUUGACUGGGGCGGUCUCCUCCUAAAGAGUAACGGAGGAGCACGAAGGUUGGCUAAUCCUGGUCGGACAUCAGGAGGUUAGUGCAAUGGCAUAAGCCAGCUUGACUGCGAGCGUGACGGCGCGAGCAGGUGCGAAAGCAGGUCAUAGUGAUCCGGUGGUUCUGAAUGGAAGGGCCAUCGCUCAACGGAUAAAAGGUACUCCGGGGAUAACAGGCUGAUACCGCCCAAGAGUUCAUAUCGACGGCGGUGUUUGGCACCUCGAUGUCGGCUCAUCACAUCCUGGGGCUGAAGUAGGUCCCAAGGGUAUGGCUGUUCGCCAUUUAAAGUGGUACGCGAGCUGGGUUUAGAACGUCGUGAGACAGUUCGGUCCCUAUCUGCCGUGGGCGCUGGAGAACUGAGGGGGGCUGCUCCUAGUACGAGAGGACCGGAGUGGACGCAUCACUGGUGUUCGGGUUGUCAUGCCAAUGGCACUGCCCGGUAGCUAAAUGCGGAAGAGAUAAGUGCUGAAAGCAUCUAAGCACGAAACUUGCCCCGAGAUGAGUUCUCCCUGACUCCUUGAGAGUCCUGAAGGAACGUUGAAGACGACGACGUUGAUAGGCCGGGUGUGUAAGCGCAGCGAUGCGUUGAGCUAACCGGUACUAAUGAACCGUGAGGCUUAACCUU